rnacentral:tRNA from 1 species
GAGGGUAUAGCUCAAUGGUAGAGCGCAUGUUUAGCUCAAUGGUAGAGUGCAUGCAUGAGGUCAUGGGUUCAAUCCCCAGUACCUCCA